UAGUCCACGCCGUAAACGAUGGUCACUAGCUGUUCGGACUUCGGUCUGAGUGGCUAAGCGAAAGUGAUAAGUGACCCACCUGGGGAGUACGUUCGCAAGAAUGAAACUCAAGGGAAUUGACGGGGGCCCGCACAAGCGGUGGAGCAUGUGGUUUAAUUCGAUGAUACGCGAGGAACCUUACCAGGGCUUAAAUGUAAGUUGCAUUAGCUAGAGAUAGUUAUUUCUUCGGACUACUUACAAGGUGCUGCAUGGUUGUCGUCAGCUCGUGCCGUGAGGUGUCAGGUUAAGUCCUAUAACGAGCGCAACCCCUGUUGUUAGUUGCCAGCGAUUCAAGUCGGGAACUCUAACAAGACUGCCAGUGCAAACUGUGAGGAAGGUAAGGAUGACGUCAAGUCAGCAUGCCCCUUACGCUCUGGGCUACACGCGUAGCUACAAUGGUCGUGACAAAGAGUUGCUAGUCUGCGAAGGCAAGCCAAAUCUACACAAAACGCGGCCUUAGUUC
rnacentral:rRNA from 1 species